rnacentral:lncRNA from 1 species
CUGCUUGGAGUGAGACAUGGGCAGGACUUUUGGGACUAUUCCAUUGGUUCUAUUGCACCUGGCAAGCUCAGUCAAGCACAGUAAAGUAUUUAGAAAGAAAGCAAAUACUAUUUGAACCCAGGUUUGCUACUAGCCCACUUCAAAGAAGUAGAAUGAGGAGGAGGAGUGUAGGUACGUGUCUGAGUGUGUGUUUAGGGUUUACGUUAGGGGAAAAGGUGUCUGAGGUUGUGUUUAGGGUUUACGUUAGGAGAAAAGGUGUCUGAGGGUGUGUUUAGGGUUUAUGUUAGGGGAAAAGGUGUCUGAGGGUGUGUUUAGGGUUUAUGUUAGGGGAAAAGGUGUCUGAGGGUGUGUUUAGGGUUUACGUUAGGGGAAAAGGUGUCUGAGGGUGUGUUUAGGGUUUACGUUAGGGGAAAAGGUGUCUGAGUGUGUGUUUAGGGUUUAUGUUAGGGGAAAAGGUGUCUGAGCGUGUGUUUAGGGUUUACGUUAGGGGAAAAGGUGUCUGAGUGUGUGUUUAGGGUUUACGUUAGG